rnacentral:lncRNA from 1 species
UCCAUUCCUAUCAAACAUUCAAUUGCAUUUUGCUAAUUAAUUAAAAGAGACAAACUGAAUACAGCCAUUACAAAAUUAAAUAACCUACAUAUUACUGAAACGAGAAGGAAGAUGCUAUGUCCAUGGAAAUAUUAGUGAAAUCCAGAAGGAAAUUUUUGAAAAUUGUGCAGGAUAUAAGUGGUGCAGUUAACUACGAUCCAUUGGCGGACAAAACACAGCCGACAGUUUGGAGAGGAUGGUGGCGAUUAGACGACUAAAAAAGAAUUCUUAAUCCUUUACUCCCCUCUUUACUGUCCUUAAUGGAGAGUUAGAAAAACACUAGAUAAGAUAGAU